CACCAAUUUCUGCCCACCGAACAACGCCCUCCCUAACAAUGCUGGAGGCUGGUGCAACCCUCCCCAGAAUCAUUUUGAUCUCUCUCAGCCUGUCUUCCAGCGAAUUGCUCGGUUUAGAGCAGGGAUUGUGCCUGUAUCUUAUAGAAGGGUACCAUGCGGAAGGAAAGGAGGAAUCAGAUUCACAAUCAAUGGGCACUCAUACUUCAACCUAGUCCUAAUAACCAACGUUGGGGGUGCGGGUG
rnacentral:misc_RNA from 1 species